rnacentral:lncRNA from 1 species
GGGGAGUGGACUUAGGGGCAGUUGGGAGGGGACUCCCUAAAGGAAAAUCUGGGUGCUGUUCCUUCAAGAUGAGAGCAUGAGACUGAGAUGACAGUAACCCUGCAGGCCUAGGUGGGAGCUUCCAGUGCCUCUUGUCAUCAUUCUGGUAUGUCCAGGAAGUGGGAGGUGGCACCAAUGUGUAGCCACCCUGCCUGAGCCCACCAGCCUUGGAGUCAGAACACCCUGGGGUAAAUCCUGGCUCAGCUCUUCUCAGCUAUGUGAUCUCGGGAGAUGCUUAACCGGCUGGAAGCACAGAGGAAGGGCAGGAGAACGAAGCAAGUCACCCG